CAGUUGAUUUGGUGGAAGAACCUGGACUGCUUAUUUGAGGUCAUUUUCAUGUUAUAAUUCUUUACCUUCAUUUUUUAUGGUCUUGUUGUAUUUUCAUCCUAUCAUUUCCAGAAGCUGUAUUGAUCAUAAAUCUCUGAAGCAAAGUGGUGACCUUUUCUCUGAGUUGUUCAUUUGACGUUCACUUAUUGUUGGAUGUACCAAGAACACAAUUGAUGCUAUUUUCUUACAAAUUAUGGGUGUUUGGAAAUAUUAACUCAUUAUGAAAUGAUGAAAGUAGAAUAUUUAGGCUUUUGCUUUGUAUUAUUUAAGUAGACCUUAUGACCUAAUUAUCUUCCUUUCAGGCCACAGAUUACUACGGAAAAGCUGUGCAGUUGAAUUGGAAUAGUCCCCAGGCGCUUAACAACUGGGGACUUGCACUGCAGGAACUCAGUGCGAUAGUCCCUGCUAAGGAAAAGCAUAACAUUGUUAAGACGGCAAUUAGUAAGUUCCGUGCAGCAAUUCAGUUGCAGUUUGACUUUCAUAGGGCUAUUUACAACCUCGGAACUGUUUUGGUUAGUCCUCAAUUAUUCUUUUAUGUUUUAGCAAUGCUUGUCCAGUGCUUUCUUCUUUCUUUUAUUA